UACGUAGGUGGCAAGCGUUGUCCGGAUUUAUUGGGUUUAAAGGGUGCGUAGGCGGCCUAUUAAGUCAGUUCUGAAAUAUCCCGGCUUAACCGGGAGGGUGGGAUUGAUACUGAUGGGCUUGAGUGGACUCGAGAUAGGCGGAAUUGACGGUGUAGCGGUGAAAUGCUUAGAUAUCGUCAAGAACACCGAUAGUGUAGACAGCUUACUAGAUUUCAACUGACGCUGAGGCACGAAAGUGUGGGGAGCAAACAGG
rnacentral:rRNA from 1 species